UGGACAGUACUGCCAGUUGGUUCACAACCAAAACUUUACCGCAUGUCCAACAACAACAGCCUCUCCUACAACAGUUUCAACAGUACCACCAACUCUCUACGAAUACAUGAUUGAAAUUGAGCUGAACACCACAGACGUUACAGUGAUAGAUCAACUGAGCGCCA